GAAUUCAAGAAGGUCAUACUCACUGCUCUUACGAUGGGGUGAGAUGGCAUCACCUGCUGAGGCCGAGCCUCCAGAGCCAUCUGAGCUGAUGAAGGAGCUGUUGUCCUGACAGUUUUAGGGUGAUCCAGUUUCCACGUCUGUGAAAGGGCAGACAUACAAGAAGAAAGAGAAACCUUAACAGAAUGAGACACAAAUAACCCGUACAGGGAGGCCAGGCUGGUUGGCAGACGUAUUGUAGAAGUAUUGGGAAGUCAAUCCCCAAUCAUGCAGAAGUGAGCUAGACAAGCAAUGAAUGUUCAUGUUUUUUGGAUAUUCAGAAUAAACAAUGAACACUUAAA